rnacentral:rRNA from 1 species
UAGGGGAUAUUGGUGAAUGGGCGAAAGCCCGAACCAGCAACGCCGCGUGUGCGAAGAAGGCCUUCGGGUCGUAAAGCACUUUUACUCGGGAAGAGGAAGGACGGUACCGGGGGAAGAAGCCUCGGCUAACUACGUGCCAGCAGCCGCGGUAAAACGUAGGAGGCGAGCGUUAUUCGGAUUUACUGGGCGUAAAGCGCGUGUAGGUGGUUCUGUAAGUAGGGCGUGAAAGCUCCUGGCUCAACUGGGAGAGGCCGUUCUAAACUGCAGAGCUAGAGGAUGGUAGAGGGAGGUGGAAUCCCGGGUGUAGCGGUGGAAUGCGCAGAUAUCCGGAGGAACACCAGUGGCGAAAGCGGCCUCCUGGACCAUUCCUGACACUCAGACGCGAAAGCUAGGGUAGCAAACG